rnacentral:siRNA from 1 species
UAGAAUAGGUGAUUGUUUGCAA